CUGUGAUCCAGGCCGAGGACAGUGUUUGACGGGCAGUUUGACUGGGGCGGUCGCCUCCUAAAGUGUAACGGAGGCGCCCAAAGGUUCCCUCAGAAUGGUUGGAAAUCAUUCGCAGAGUGUAAAGGUAAAAGGGAGCUUGACUGCGAGAGAGACAACUCGAGCAGGUACGAAAGUAGGGCUUAGUGAUCUGGUGGUACCGUAUGGAAGGGCCAUCACUCAACGGAUAAAAGCUACCCUGGGGAUAACAGGCUUAUCUCCCCCAAGAGUUCACAUCGACGGGGAGGUUUGGCACCUCGAUGUCGGCUCGUCGCAUCCUGGGGCUGAAGUCGGUCCCAAGGGUUGGGCUGUUCGCCCAUUAAAGCGGCACGCGAGCUGGGUUCAGAACGUCGUG
rnacentral:rRNA from 1 species